rnacentral:rRNA from 1 species
GGCCCUACGGGGUGCAGCAGGCGCGAAAACUCCGCAAUGUUCGAAAGAGCGACGGGGGGACCCCAAGUGCGCCAUCUUUAUGGUGGUGCUUUUUUAGAGUGUAAAUAGCUUUAAGAAUAAGAGUUGGGUAAGACCGGUGCCAGCCGCCGCGGUAACACCGGCAGCUCGAGUGGUAACCAUUUUUAUUGGGCCUAAAGCGUCCGUAGCCGGUCCAAAAAGUCUUUGGUUAAAUCCUGUAGCUUAACUAUAGGUCUUCCGAAGAUACUGUUGGACUCGGGGCUGAGAGAGGUUGGAGGUACUCUUGGAGUAGGAGUGAAAUCCUGUAAUUCCAAGGGGACCACCAGUGGCGAAGGCGUCCAACCAGAGCGGACCCGACGGUGAAGGACGAAAGCCAGGGGAGCGAACGGGAUUAGAUACCCCGGUAGUCCUGGCCGUAAACGCUGUGGGCUAGGUGUUGCAUGCUCUAUGAGGGCAUGCAGUGCCGUAGAGAAGUUGAUAAGCCUACCGCCUGGGAAGUAUUAUCGCAAGGUAGAAACUUAAAGGAAUUGGCGGGGGAGCAC